rnacentral:rRNA from 1 species
AUUGAACGCUGGCGGCAUGCCUUACACAUGCAAGUCGAACGGUAACAGGUCUUCGGAUGCUGACGAGUGGCGAACGGGUGAGUAAUACAUCGGAACGUGCCCGAGAGUGGGGGAUAACGAAGCGAAAGCUUUGCUAAUACCGCAUACGAUCUCAGGAUGAAAGCAGGGGACCGCAAGGCCUUGCGCUCACGGAGCGGCCGGUGGCAGAUUAGGUAGUUGGUGGGAUAAAAGCUUACCAAGCCGACGAUCUGUAGCUGGUCUGAGAGGACGACCAGCCACACUGGGACUGAGACACGGCCCAGACUCCUACGGGAGGCAGCAGUGGGGAAUUUUGGACAAUGGGCGCAAGCCUGAUCCAGCCAUGCCGCGUGCAAGAUGAAGGCCUUCGGGUUGUAAACUGCUUUUGUACGGAACGAAAAGACUCCUUCUAAUAAAGGGGGUCCAUGACGGUACCGUAAGAAUAAGCACCGGCUAACUACGUGCCAGCCGCCGCGGUAAUAC